AUGGGGAGUCGGACCUGCCCGGUGAAAAUUUUUAACGGCCGCGGUACUCUGACCGUGCAAAGGUAGCAUAAUCAUUUGCCUUAUAAUUGAAGGCUAGUAUGAAUGGUUUAACAUGAAUAUAGCUGUCUCUUUAUAAUUUAAUAGAAUUUUAUUUAUAGGUGAAGAAGCCUAUAUAGUAUUGAAAGACAAGAAGACCCUAUCGAGCUUUAAAAAAAUUAAUAGAUUAUCAAAUUAAUAGGUUUAAAAAAUCAACUAUUAUAUAUAUUAGUUGGGGCGACUAAGGAACAAUAAAAGCUUCUUUUAAUUAAUCAAAAUACUAUUCAAGUAUUGAUCCAGAAUUAUUCUGAUUAAAGGAAUUAGUUACCGUAGGGAUAACAGCAUAAUCUUUUUUAAGAGUUCUUAUCGAAAAAAAGGUUUGUGACCUCGAUGUUGGACCAGAGUAUCCCAAAGAUGCAGCAGUCUUUAAAGGUUGGUCUGUUCGACCAUUAAAACUCUA
rnacentral:rRNA from 1 species